GUUGGGUGGGAUCAAACCAGGGCCUCGAGCAAGUGAGGCGAUUCUACCGCUGAGCUGGGUCCCCAGCACUUUCAAAAUCUUUUUUAAAAAUUUGAGACAAGGUCUUGCUAAGUUGCCAAGGUUGGGCUUGAACCCAGUCCUCCUGCCUCUGCUUCCCCAGUAGCUGAGAUUACAGUGUAUGCAGGGAUUGCAGAAGCCCAUGGCCCUGAUGCCCAGCAAUCACUCAGAGACUUAUUUACUGAAUGCUGGGAUUCCUGCUACAGGGGGCAUACACCCACAGCUCUGCUCAAGGAGAUUCUGUCUAAGCCUCCAGAACAAGGAAGCAGCAGCUCCUGCAACCCCAGAGCACUUGGAGCACCCCACUUAUUCUCACAGUAACCUCAGGAGGUAUAAGAUCUCCCUCUGCUUGAUGAGGAGCCCAGAGAGAUGAGGUGAGCUGCCUGGGUUCACCCAGCAGGGAUUUAAAAGCCUGGUCAUCGGCCCAGAGCCCCAACACCCUGAGAACUACUGAAGUUCAGGACCAGAGCAGAAGCAGCGGGGCAGGGUAAGGGCUCAGCAUUACCCUGCGACUUCAGCAGUGUGGCCAAGCGCCUAGUGUGGGUGGGGGCGAGGUCCUUGCCCUGGAGAUGGCCUCUGCUUUCAGGCCUUCCACCAGGCAGCAGCAGGCACUGGGGGGAAGGAGAGGUUCUGGACUUGGGGGAUGCUCGUCAGGUCACCUGCUCGGAGAAAUCCUCCCUGACCCCUAAGAAAGAUCCUGACCAUUGCUGGCCCAGCCCCAUCUGUUGUCUCCUUUGUAGCAUCUCCUCAACAGGUGGCCGUUUCAUCUAUCUGCAGGUUACCCAUAUCAUCUUUCUCUCUUUUACUUUUUUGUCUUUUUUUUUUUUUAAUUGGUACCGGGGAUCGAACUCACGACCGCCUGAUUGCAAAGCAGGUGCUUAUGCCGCUGAGCUAAACUCCCAGCCCCCUUUUGUUGUUUUUUUUUUUACUUUGUUGUCUUUUUUUUUUUUUUUUUCAUCUGUCUCUCUUGACUUCAAGGCUUAUGACUGUCGCUCUCAGCUGUGUCCCUGGCUCUGAGCCCAGCAUCUGGUCCACUGCAGGUGCUCACCAAGCAUCUGUUGGAUGAUGGAGUGGAUGAACAAAGGACUCUGGUGGUCAGGAAACCCAGGGGGAGGCUCAUCUCUGCCUUCUACUGGCUGCAUGGCUUAGGCAUGGCCUCUGGGCUUCUUCCAAGCCUCAACCUGAGCAUAACUCCAACUCCAUAUCUAAUGGAUUGGCCUCAUACUUCCUGAAUACAUCAGACAACUGAAUGGGAAGGAAAAGAAUUUGGAAUUGUUUAGUAAAUUAUACCUUAAAUAAAUCAACUGCCAGUUGGGUCUUCUUUCUGAGGAUCACAUUGCAGUGGGUUCCCGAGGAGUCAUUGGUGUGCAAUAAGCCCAAUCUUAUUCCUUAUUCAAUAAAUUCCUUUAUUCUAGUUCACAUACUUUUCCAUUACAAUGAUGAAAAUAGCACUAGUGAUUUGUAACACUGAGGCCCAAAUCAAAGGGGAACCCCUCCUCCAAUUAUAUGGUAAAUGACACAUAAUUGAACGUAAAUGGUGAGCAGAAACGUAUUAAAAAUAUAGAUAAUAAGGGUCCAGGUGGUGUGUGCACAAACACGUUAAGGUCCUUGAUUAAGCUGGCUCCAUUUUAGAAAGUACAUGAUUUUUGAAAACUAUAUUUAUGUAUUAUUUAUUUUUGGUACCAGAAAUUUAAAAAAACCAACUAUUUAUAAUAGUAAUAAACCUCAACUGUGCAGAAAAGGCAAAAUCAAGCAAAAACAAAAAUCCCCAAACCAA